CGCUACGGACUUAAAAUCCGUCGACUUUUAAAAUCGUGAGGGUUCAAGUCCCUCUAUCCCCA
rnacentral:tRNA from 11 species